UACGUAGGGGGCAAGCGUUGUCCGGAAUCAUUGGGCGUAAAGCGCGUGUAGGCGGUUCAGUAAGUCUGCUGUGAAAGUCCAGGGCUCAACCCUGGGAUGCCGGUGGAUACUGCUGGGCUAGAGUACGGAAGAGGCGAGUGGAAUUCCCGGUGUAGCGGUGAAAUGCGCAGAUAUCGGGAGGAACACCCGUAGCGAAGGCGGCACUCUGGGCCGGUACUGACGCUGAGGCGCGAAAGCCAGGGAGCAAAGCGGG
rnacentral:rRNA from 1 species